rnacentral:rRNA from 1 species
GUGCAGCAGGCGCGAAUACUUUACAAUGUGCGAAAGCACGAUAAGGGAACUCUGAGUGCCUCCUAAGGAGGCUGUUCAGGUGUCUAAAAAGCACCUGGAGUAAGGGCUGGGUAAGAUCGGUGCCAGCCGCCGCGGUAACACCGGCAGCCCAGGUGGUAGCCACUUUUAUUGGGUCUAAAGCGUCCGUAGCCGGUUGAGUAAGUUCCGUGGGAAAUUUGGCUGCUCAACAGUCAAGCUUCCAGGGAAUACUGCUCGACUUGGGACUGGGAGAGGUCAGAGGUACUCCAGGGGUAGGGUGAAAUCCAUUAAUCCCUGGGGGACCACCGGUAGCGAAGGCGUCUGACCAGACCAGGUCCGACGGUGAGGGACGAAGGCUAGGGUCGCGAACCGGAUUAGAUACCCCUGUAGU